UUCUCACCAUGACUGCACAACCUUAGUCUUAUCAACCUCUCUUCUUUUUCAUAUAUUUCCUUUGAAGCAGACAGCACAGGAAGUUCCAUGCCAACAGCCCUUCAGAAGUGAAACUUAAUAAUUGAGAGAAGCAAAUAGUACAUCAGAGGAUUUUCUCCCUUUUUGCCAUGGCUCUUAAGACUUCAAAGUGUGACAACUACUGUGAAUCUCUUUUAAGGAUGUGGCAACCUCAGAACUCCAGAGAGCAUUGCUCCGAGCCAUUGCUAACAUAAGCAAAGAUGCAUGUGAGACUCUACUGCUGUGAUGAGAAACAACAGACAAUGAUGCCAACCAUGGGAAAAUCAGAAUGACAACAUUGGCUCAUACAAACAGCGAGGAAGUGACAACGCAGGUUCCUUGGUUUGAAAAUGGAGAAGAAUGCCUCCCCCAGAGCCAGAGAUAAGCACUGCCUCCAGAAGCCAGAAAUGAAAGAAGCCUUUACCUUGUCUGUGUUUGUGUGUCUCAUUGUAUGUGAUUGUAAGGCACUGAAUGUUUGCCUAUGUCUGCUGUAAAUGAUGUAAAAAGCUCUAAGUCCCCAAGGGCAGAAGGGCGGAAUAUCAA